rnacentral:rRNA from 1 species
CAUAGCAGUAACGCAGUUACACAUUAAGUGUGCCGCCUGGGGAGUACGGUCGCAAGAUUAAAACUCAAAGGAAUAGACGGGGACCCGCACAAGCGGUGGAGCAUGUGGUUUAAUUCGACGAUACGCGAAGAACCUUACCUGGACUUGACAUAGAAAGAAUUACGCAGAGAUGUAUAAGUGCUAGCUUGCUAGAACUUUCAUACAGGUGCUGCACGGCUGUCGUCAGCUCGUGUCGUGAGAUGUUGGGUUAAGUCCCGCAACGAGCGCAACCCUCGUGUUUAGUUGCUAACAGUUCGGCUGAGAACUCUAAACAGACUGCCUGGGUAACCAGGAGGAAGGUGAGGACGACGUCAAGUCAUCAUGGCCCUUAUGUCCAGGGCUACACACGUGCUACAAUGGGGCAUACAAAGAGCAGCGAUACCGCGAGGUGGAGCAAAUCUCAAAAAUGCCUCCCAGUUCGGAUAGCACUCUGCAACUCGAGUGCUUGAAGUUGGAAUCGCUAGUAAUCGUGGAUCAGCAAUGCCACGGUGAAUACGUUCCCGGGUCUUGUACUCACCGCCCGUCACACCAUGGGAAUUGAAUUCAUUCGAAGCGGGGAUGCUAAAAUAGCUACCUUCCACAGUGGAUUUAGUAACUGGGGUGAAGUCGUAACAAGGUAGCCG